UACUAAGUGGCUGAAAUUUAAGUAAUGGUCUCUUAAACCAUUUUAUAGUAUAACAUA
rnacentral:tRNA from 1 species